AGCUACAUCCGUCACCUGACACGGCCCUACCAGGAACAGCCGCGCUCCCGCGGAUUCUGGUGCUGCUCGCGUCCCCGCUCCCCUAUUCCCCUUAUUUUAUUCCUGGCUCCCCUCGUCGAAAGUCUUCCAUUCUUCAAACUAGAUUAUUUAAAAAUGAAAAAGGAAGAAAGGAAAGCGAGGUCAUCUCAUUGCUCUAUCCGCCAAUCAGGAGGCUGAAUGUCAGUUUUGAACUAAAAGCCGCUCCGCUCCUCUUCUAGAUUUGGAAAACAAGCGAAAUUAAACUAAACCGCUGCACGCCUCUGAUGCGACAUCUGGACACUGCGUGGCGCUGGCGCUGCCGGAGCUGCGGGCCCGGCCUGGCGCCGGACUAGUCUCCCUUUUGAUGAGAAGAGUAAGUCUCAUUCUGAUUCAACAGCAGAGAUCAAAGAAAAGACUUCUGUUUUCUGGCCACCAGAUAUAUGUUAUCUGUGCUUAAAGAACUGAAAAACACACAUCAAAGGAGAAUUCUCUUGGAAAGAGAGGGUUCAAGCAUUAUUGUUAGGUGUGCUGGAAUCCUUUCCCGAGUCAGUACUGCUUUCUAGAACAGAACCAGGGAGAUCUAUUUGGAAUGUAUCUAACUCCAAAGAAACCAUCAGAGGUAAUAGGAUGAUUACGGAGUUAGGAAUUUCCUACGAAGCUGGGUGAUAAAAGCACAUUGGAGAAAAACACAGAUAGCUUCAUUCUAUACCAGGAUCCAUUAUAUUUGUCUCUACUGUAAUUUGAGGAGAAUGAUAUCUGCUUCUCUAUCUUGUUGGGUUUUACAGAUGACGUAUUGAAAGUUCAAUAAAAUCUAUAAACAAU
rnacentral:antisense_RNA from 1 species